AAGGUAAAAUAAUUUUUAUUGAACCUUGAAGGAUUACAUAUUCGUAAUUUAUAUAAAGAAAUCAUUGUCAUAAAGAAGUACUAUUAUCAUAGUAUAUUGAGAAGCAUUAUGAUAUAGAAGUACCUUUUGCAAUCAAAAAAUAUGGAAAAUAAUAACAUCUUAACUAUCUAUUUAGUCGGUAUCAAUGAACCAGAACGCUAUUUAAUUAAUACAUGAAGAAGGCUUUUCAAGAAUAUGCUAGUAGUAGAUGUCAAAAAAAAAAAAGAAUGCUAGUAGUAAAAAACACCCUCAAAAAAGAAAAAGAAAAAAGAAUGCUAGUAAAAAACUUGUUGUCUAUUAAACAGAUUUUCGAAGCACUUACCUUAUCUACUUUAAUUACAAAAGAUAAAAUAGAAAAAGAAAGAAAAGCCCAACUGAAUUAAAAGACUUCUCUCUUCAGCCCUCCUUCCCCACAGAUGUGAUCCUCGGUAGGGGUGGACCGAUACAGUAUGCCGAUUUUUUUUUCGUCAUACUGUAUAUCAUACUAUAAAUUAUAGUAUGAGAAUUUUUAUACCGUUGUCGUACCGAAUCCUUCGGUAUACCAAAGAUCGGCAUACUGAAAUUUUGGUAUGAACUUUUCUCAUGUCGGUAUUAUAUUGAUAGUGCGGUAUACCAUAUCGAAAGUCGGUAUACCGUACUUUACGAUGUAUCAAAAUUAUUUGUAUAUCAUUUCAUGUUUAAAUUUACCAAAAUAUUACGAUAUACUGUGUAUUUAUGCAUACCAAAAUUUCAUUAAACAAAUAUAAAUAAGCUUCUAACAAGUCUAGAAUUAUAUGUGUGUGUAUAUAUAUGUAAUUUAUUUCAAUCAGUACAGUAUACCAAUUAUUUUAAUAUAUACCGGUAUAUACUAAAACAACAAUUUAUACUUAUUUUUUAAUGUAUACUGCGAUAUCGGUAUAUAUCGGUAUACCGUGAUAUGAGAAAAAUUGAUACUGUUGUCGCACCAAAGAAUUUCGGUACGGUACAAUAUACAGUACCAUAAUUUACGGUAUACAAAAAAUUCGAUAUUUUCAACAUUUUUUCAAUACGAUAAGAGGGCAUUUACUUGACAUGAUUGACUAUAUGUAGGAUUGAGUAUUUUCAUCCUUGAUAGUAGGAUAUCUUCAAUCCCACCAUUUUCAUGGGAUAAAGAAUCAAACAAAACUAACUUGAAUGAUAUAAAUAAUCAAGGGUUUUGAGAUAUCUCAAAAUUGCAAUUCAUCAAAGUAAACAAGAGCUUAGCCUUACUAUUUUUAUCUAUCAAAUUUAAUUCUCCAAAGUAAACACCCCGCAAGUGCGGUAUACCGAUUUUUCGGUAUUUUAGUCCAAAAUCGGUAGCCUCGAAGCUCCAAUUUCCCGUUUGAUUAGAUUGGAGGCGGCAGAGGGAGAUGAAACCAAUACCAUUAGCACCGGGCGAGGAAGUCGCACCCAAGCUCGUUCGACUUCUCUACUUUGUCGGCGCCGGAGGUACACACUAUCUUCACUUAUUCUUCAAUUCAUGUACACUUUCUCUACUUUUAAACUGGCGACCUUUUUUCCUUAAGUUGUUUGCACUGCCGCGAUUAACAAGUGGAAAGAAUAUGAAAAAAAAUCCAUGAUUCAGAAGGAGCAACAAAUGAAUGAAUCGUCUCCGCAAAAUUCGUCGGCUGUUGAAUGAACUUCAGUUUUGUUUCCUUCUUUUAAUAACAGUGAUUUGUUUGGAUUGUGGAACCUCAGAUACAUGGAGUCUUUUAUCAAGUAUUUUUGUAGUUGUUAGGAAUUCAUGUCAACAAACGUAAUGAAAGAAAUUGUUGGUUGGUUCACUGCAUACCUUUAUUAUAAGUGAGGAAGUCGGCUCAGAACUCCAAUCCUAACUUCUGUUCCUUUUGAUGCGCACCAAUCGAAAGUUUGGAUUCUGUUUCGUUUAUAGUUUUGUUAGAGUAAAUAUCUGAUCUAAAAGCUAGCUUUCUUGUCUUGGUUAUUUUGUACAUCGUCACUUGUAUUACUGAGGUUGAUAGAGCUUGCUGUUUUUCAUCAUUAACUGCGAAGUUGCUUGCUAGAGCUGAUUGUUUUGACAUUGAAAGACUCGUAAGAAUAUAUGAAUCUCAUCUGUGCAAGGAUAUAUCUAUAAAUUCAGUUGCACAAGUACUUGUUUUUCAGAGCGUUAUCAUGCUGCAGAAUUGCAAGAUGUUUGCCUUAAGUUUGCCGCUAAGAAUCUGACAGGUUAAACUUUGGGUUGAGAAUGGGAUGGUCUUCUCUCUCUUUUAGUGCAGCCUCAACAAGUUUUGACUGACAUUUCAUGGUUGAACGAUUUGAGCGUCCUUAUCAGAAGAGGAGAGACAUUCUGCAGAGGGAUUUAUAUAGCCGUAGCCUAUGCCGGCAGCGGAGUUGCAGUAAGUCUCGACGGUGCCAUCGCUGCUCUGCAAGUUGAUGUUGUUAAGAAUGAUGUGAGUGCAUGGGACUGUGUCGCUGCAUGCGAAUCUCAUGGCCUUUUGGCUUCUCGAUGUCCCAGUUAUGUUGCGGUACAUGAUCUGUGUUAUAUUCACUGCAGACGUCUGAUGAAACGAGCUUGUUAAGUCUUAUCGUAUGAGUUGCUUAGAGGUGUCAAACAUGGGCCGUACAUGUACCUGGUUUUCGCAAGAUUUUGGUGAGUCGCAGUAGAAUUGGUCUAUGAUGAUGGGGUUGGUCACAUUUUCCAUCCUCACGUCUUGAUAGCGCACUGCACGCACGUGGCCGGAGCCUCCCUGCCAAGUCUUGAUCCUGAGACCGUUGGUGGUGCCUCGGAGGAAGGCCUUGUCCACCACCACGCUCUCUACGAUGCCGGUGCUGUUGUCCUUUCCUAGGCUGCCAAUGCUGCAGUUUUAGCUAAAGUUAGUCUCCCACAAGUUUGAUAAAAAAUGGUUUCAAACUGUUUAUUUUGAGAGAGAGAGAGGUAAGAGUGUAAGUUAACCUAAUUCCAUGGCCUGGUCCACAAAAGAUAUUCUUCAUCUUGA